rnacentral:rRNA from 1 species
UGGGGAAUAUUGGACAAUGGGCGCAAGCCUGAUCCAGCAAUGCCGCGUGUGUGAAGAAGGCCUUCGGGUUGUAAAGCACUUUUAUCCGGAGCGAAAUAUUAUCGGUUAAUAACCGGUGGGGCUGACGGUACCUGAGGAAUAAGCACCGGCUAACUUCGUGCCAGCAGCCGCGGUAAUACGAAGGGUGCAAGCGUUAAUCGGAAUUACUGGGCGUAAAGCGUGCGCAGGCGGUUUGUUAAGUCUGCUGUGAAAUCCCCGAGCUCAACUUGGGAAUUGCAGUGGAUACUGGCAAGCUAGAGUACGGUAGAGGAAGGUGGAAUUCCCGGUGUAGCAGUGAAAUGCGUAGAGAUCGGGAGGAACACCAGUGGCGAAGGCGGCCUUCUGGACCAGUACUGACGCUCAUGCACGAAAGCGUGGGGAGCAAAC